rnacentral:tRNA from 1 species
GUCAGGAUGGCCGAGCGGUCUAAGGCGCCAGACUCAAGCGUGCAGCUUGCCGGUGAAACCGGUGAUAAGAAUUCUGGUCUUCGAUAGAAGGCGUGGGUUCAAAUCCCACUUCUGACA